ensembl:lncRNA
CCCAAUUCUUUUAGAGAGGUUACAAACAGUUUUGACAUAAAAUUUGAACCUUGAUCUGACUGAAGUACUUUCGGUAAGCCAAAUGUAGAGAAAAACUUGAUCAGGGCCUUAACUACAGUCUUGGCUGUGAUGGUACGGAGGGGAAUAGCCUCCGGAUACCGAGUAGCACUACACAUCACUGUUAAAAGGUAUUGGUUACCACUCCGCGUUCUUGGUAAAGGACCCACACAAUCCACGAUUACCCGUUCGAACGGUUCUCCCAGCACAGGAAUCGGAUGCAGUGGCGCCCGAGGGAUGACCUGGUUCGCUUUUCCUGUUAGUUGGCAUCCAUGACAGGUAUUACAAAAUUCCACAACAUCUGACUUUAGACCUGUCCAGAAAAAGUGGCGAAGGACUCUGUCAUAAGUCUUUGUUAUUCCUAGGUGCCCAGCCCAAGCAGGGUCAUGUGCUAGGGAUAACACUUGCUGUCUGAAUGGUUUAGGGACGACCACCUGCUUGACAACCCCUAAACCCCGAACGUUACCCUGCGCUGCCCACCUGCGCAUAAGAACGCCAGCCUCCAUGAAGUAAGACACCUCUUUUGUGUUUGCUUCCUCAGAAAUCACUACACAAUCAAAACAUUUCUUCAGACUAACGUCUUCCUUCUGAGCCUUAAUCAUACUCUGUGAGGUUAUCAAUGACAAUAUAUUGUGUAAUUGGAAUUCACUUCCACUCUUACCUAUUGCAGUUUUCAUUGAAGUGGAAAUACUGGACUGGGCUGGCUCCACGUUCACACGCUCAAGAAUCGAGUCUGACAGGUCCACCUCGUCUCCCAACCUACGGGACUGGGCCCGUGUAAGCACACAAGCUGGGAACACAUGAGGGCGAGCCAGCCGGUACUCGAGCCUAGCCGCAGCACUUCUGGACCCAACAGAGGAAC